rnacentral:lncRNA from 1 species
CGAUGAUGACACUUGUAUCUUCGUACUCCUUGUCAGAAAAUCGUCAAUAAUCAUCUUUGUAUGCUUCAUCAAAACAACAUGCCAUAGAUGACCUUUCUUUACACAUUUCGAGGUAUGUAUGACAUAAACAACUUGUAUUCAGAGAUAAUCUUUAUCUUCUAAGUUUUGUCUUCUUGAUUUAUCGUCGAAUCAAAUCAAUUUAAAUCCUUUUCUAUGACCAUUUGAACAUAAUCUCAGCAUCAUAAUCUUUCAUUCCA